rnacentral:rRNA from 1 species
GGACUACUCGGGUAUCUAAUCCUGUUUGCUCCCCAUGCUUUCGUGCCUCAGUGUCAGUCUCUAUCCAGAAAGUCGCCUUCGCCACUGAUGUUCCUUCCGAUAUCUACGCAUUUCACCGCUACACCGGAAAUUCCACUUUCCUCUACAGGACUCUAGCUACACAGUAUCAGGCGCAGUCCCCAGGUUAAGCCCAGGAAUUUCACACCUAACUUACAUAACCACCUACGCACCCUUUACGCCCAGUAAUUCCGAUUAACGCUCGCACCCUCUGUAUUACCGCGGCUGCUGGCAC